rnacentral:sRNA from 1 species
GCGCGAGCAAGAUGGCCACCACCAAGCGCGUCUUGUGGACUGGCAGAGGAAGUGGACGACAAAGUUCUUCAUGCUGCGUUCAUUCCUUUUGGAGACAUCACAGAUAUUCAGAUUCCUCUGGAUUAUGAAACAGAAAAGCACCGAGGAUUUGCUUUUGUUGAAUUUGAGUUGGCAGAGGAUGCUGCAGCAGCUAUCGACAACAUGGUAUGGCUGGGAAUCUUAAUUCUAACUAAAGUUGCUUUUUGGUGGUACAGAGGCUCCUUAUUCAUAUAUCAGUGUUCUGGACUUCCAAAGUUACAAGGUUGCAUGGGGAGGUAAAAAUUGUCACGUGAAAAUAUUCACUGUGAAUUGAUCACUUAUAAAAUUAGUUCUUACUCAGACUCCUUCGCCAUUUCAGAAUAAUGUAAGUCCUCAUCAUCCUUGUUGACCAGUCUCUCACUGGCUCUCCCAUGUUUAGGAUAAUUUGCAGACACAGUGCAAAUUGAUUGCACAGUGUAACCGCAUAUUUUGCAAAAUAGCAGGAUUUCAUGAAGUGUUAGACCAAUUUACAAUUGAGAAGAGAAAUUUAACUAUGGCAGGUGCAAAUCACUGAUACAAAUGAUUUGGAUAUUCUGGAAAGGUCCUUGGGAAAAAUGAUGAUGCUCUUUAGUAUUUGUGCCCUCCUUGAGAUCCUUUUAGUUUUCAUGUCUGAUAAGAAGUGCAAAGAUACCAUACUGUUGAUAGAAUUUUGUUGGAAAAAUAAUACUUCAGUGCCUGUUACUUUUCUUUCUUUCUUUUUUUUUUUUUUUUUAACAAUCUUGAACUCAUGAGUUCAAGACUUCUCAGCUUCUCAAGUAGCUGGAAUUACAGGCUCAAGCCAACAGGGCUACCUGGCUACCUGUUACAUUUCUUUCUACCAAGUUACAUUUCUUUCUACCAAUUAGUGCAUAGUUAGUCCUGAAUAUUAAUUGUAAGAAACUUGUUUUUAUUAUUUUUAGUUUCAUCACAGUAAUUUCCCAGUCAACCUUUAAAAAUUUUUCAAUUUUACCACGAAAUCUUCAUCACCACUUCAAGUGGAGUCACCUUAAAUGACCUUUCCUGGUACCGAUUAUCUUUGGAUAAUGAGAUGUUGUUUUAUUUGUUGUUCUGUUAUCCAUUCACCAAACAUAUUCAUCAGCUGUCAGAGAUCAUUUUUCUUUCAUUUCAAAGCUUAUCUUGACUUUUGAAGGUGAACUCAAAUACUGGGAAACUGCAUUUAUUUUUGUAAUUUUGGAGUGUUCUGAACCCAGAGUUACUUUUGGUAAUACAGGUCUUUGUGUGCUGCUAUGAAAGAAAGGGGUGUGAGUUCCCUGAAACCCACAGGUGGCUUUGGGGUGGCUGCAUAGCUUACUGGUAGAGGCCCAGGGAUUAAGGGAGGACAAAUCAUGAGUGUGUCUCAGAAGUAUAUGGAAAGCUGGCUGGCCCUCUUUUAACCUAAGAGAGUUUAAGCAGCUGGAUUUUCAAUCUUUUCAGAAUGAAUCUGAGCUUUUUGGACGUACAAUUCGUGUCAAUUUGGCCAAACCAAUGAGAAUUAAGGAAGGCUCUUCCAGGCCAGUUUGGUCAGAUGAUGACUGGUUGAAGAAGUUUUCUGGGAAGACGCUUGAAGAGAAUAAAGAGGAAGAAGGGUCAGAGCCUCCCAAAGCAGAGACCCAGGAGGGAGAGCCCAUUGCUAAAAAGGCCCGGUCAAAUCCUCAGGUGUACAUGGACAUCAAGAUUGGGAACAAGCCGGCUGGCCGCAUCCAGAUGCUCCUGCGUUCUGAUGUCGUGCCCAUGACAGCAGAGAAUUUCCGCUGCCUGUGCACUCAUGAAAAGGGCUUUGGCUUUAAGGGAAGCAGCUUCCACCGCAUCAUCCCCCAGUUCAUGUGCCAGGGCGGUGAUUUCACAAACCACAACGGCACUGGGGGCAAGUCCAUCUAUGGGAAGAAGUUCGAUGAUGAAAACUUUAUCCUCAAGCAUACGGGACCAGGUCUACUAUCCAUGGCCAACUCUGGCCCAAACACCAAUGGCUCUCAGUUCUUCCUGACAUGUGACAAGACAGACUGGCUGGAUGGCAAGCAUGUGGUGUUUGGAGAGGUCACCGAAGGCCUAGAUGUCUUGCGGCAAAUUGAGGCCCAGGGCAGCAAGGACGGGAAGCCAAAGCAGAAGGUGAUCAUCGCCGACUGUGGGGAGUACGUGUGAGGCGGCACUCUCUCUGCUUCCCCCUCCGCUCUUGACCCUGCAUAUCCAGGAAGGAACUGCCAGCCUCAGAGGAGGCAGCACCGAGGGUGCCUGUUUGAAGCGAGCAGCAUUUGGGAUAUGUGCCCUUCCUCAGGGUCCGCUUGGAGCAGCUCCUCUGCAGGCACAGCCUGGACUAUUCCCAGGCGCAGCUGUGGGCCCAGGAGCCAGCUCAGGUGCUCCCCUCCACCAUGGGCAGGCUGUGCAAAAAGCCACUGGCUUUUCUCAGCAUUUGCUGCUGGGCCUCUCCUGGGACUACCAGUGUGGCUCUUACGUCUUUUCUUUGCUAAAAUAAACCCUAGUUCUUAUAUUGCUCUUCCUGCUA